ACACUCUAGUGUCUUCUUUUUGAGAUCGCUUAAAUCUUUCGCCUUUUACUAACGAUUUCCUUGGAGAGUAUCAACACAUUUAUAUUGAGUAUCAACACAUUUUUUGUUGUCCGGCCGUAUGGCCGUAU
rnacentral:snRNA from 1 species